GACCUCAGAUCAGACGAGAUGACCCGCUGAAUUUAAGCAUAUCAAUAAGCGGAGGAA
rnacentral:rRNA from 1 species